rnacentral:lncRNA from 10 species
GCAAAGCUCCAAGACAGACCUGUAGCAGCAUGGCCCAAAAAGUUCCUCUGCUGCCCCAGUCCCAUACCUGCCUGAGGUACGGGGGUUCAGGCUGAGUCGGCUGACCUGGAGUCAUCUGGAAGCCUUGUCAGAAAUGCAGAUUCUGCAGUGCUGUUCCCAGAGGAUGAGAUUCAGCAGAACUGGGUGUUGGAUAUUAUAUGAAGAGAUUUGCAAGUGUUAUUUUACGUAAUUCGCACUUUACAAAGGAGGAAACUGCAGCGCAGGUACCAAGGUUGCCCCAUCUCGGUCCAGGCCUGCUCCCGGCGAGCCACUCGCCCUUGACCACGCCUCCUCUCUCCUGAUUGGCUGUCAGGCAUGAGUGGACAGAGAAAGAUGACCACUGCCCUCACCCCACUAAAGAAGCCCCAGCACUUAGCAAGCACUUAUGGCC